AACAGCUGUCAGCUAGCUCCCUGAAACUCUAACAUGGUCGCAAACUGAAGCUAAGCAGGGCUGCGCUCGGUCAGUUACUGGAUAGGAGACCACAUGGGUUGGCUAGAUUGCUGCUGCAA
rnacentral:rRNA from 1 species